rnacentral:rRNA from 1 species
ACGCACGCUGGCGGCGUGCUUAACACAUGCAAGUCGAACGGAAAGGCCCUGCUUUUGUGGUGUGCUCGAGUGGCGAACGGGUGAGUAACACGUGAGUAACCUGCCCUUGACUUUGGGAUAACUUCAGGAAACUGGGGCUAAUACCGGAUAGGAGCUCCUGCUGCAUGGUGGGGGUUGGAAAGUUUCGGCGGUUGGGGAUGGACUCGCGGCUUAUCAGCUUGUUGGUGGGGUAGUGGCUUACCAAGGCUUUGACGGGUAGCCGGCCUGAGAGGGUGACCGGCCACAUUGGGACUGAGAUACGGCCCAGACUCCUACGGGAGGCAGCAGUGGGGAAUAUUGCACAAUGGGCGGAAGCCUGAUGCAGCAACGCCGCGUGCGGGAUGACGGCCUUCGGGUUGUAAACCGCUUUCGCCUGUGACGAAGCGUGAGUGACGGUAAUGGGUAAAGAAGCACCGGCUAACUACGUG